CACGUAGGGUGCGAGCGUUGUCCGGAAUUAUUGGGCGUAAGAGCUCGUAGGGGGUGUGUCGCGGCGGGCGUGAAAACCUGCAGCUUAACUGUGGGCUUGCGGUCGAUACGGGCAUCACUGGAGUUCGGCAGGGGAGACUGGAAUUCCUGGUGUAGCGGUGAAAUGCGCAGAUAUCAGGAGGAACACCGGUGGCGAAGGCGGGUCUCUGGGCCGAUACUGACGCUGAGGAGCGAAAGCGUGGGGAGCGAACAGG
rnacentral:rRNA from 1 species